GGGGAGGUAGCUCAGCUGGUUAGAGCAGGGGACUCAUAAUCCCUGGGUCGCGGGUUCGAGCCCCGCCCUCCCUACCA
rnacentral:tRNA from 1 species